GCAGCAGCCGCGGGAAUACGUAGGUGGCAAGCGUUGUCCGGAAUUAUUGGGCGUAAAGGGCUCGCAGGCGGUUUCUUAAGUCUGAUGUGAAAGCCCCCGGCUCAACCGGGGAGGGUCAUUGGAAACUGGGAAACUUGAGUGCAGAAGAGGAGAGUGGAAUUCCACGUGUAGCGGUGAAAUGCGUAGAGAUGUGGAGGAACACCAGUGGCGAAGGCGACUCUCUGGUCUGUAACUGACGCUGAGGAGCGAAAGCGUGGGGAGCGAACAGGAUUAGAUACCCCCGUAGUCCCUGUCUCUUAUAC
rnacentral:rRNA from 1 species